rnacentral:rRNA from 1 species
CCUACGGGGGGCUGCAGUGGGGAAUAUUGGACAAUGGGGGGAACCCUGAUCCAGCCAUGCCGCGUGUGUGAAGAAGGCCCUCGGGUUGUAAAGCACUUUCAGUGGGGAAGAACGCCUGGUGGUUAAUACCCAUCAGGAAAGACAUCACUCACAGAAGAAGCACCGGCUAACUCCGUGCCAGCAGCCGCGGUAAUACGGAGGGUGCGAGCGUUAAUCGGAAUUACUGGGCGUAAAGCGCGCGUAGGUGGCUUGAUAAGCCGGUUGUGAAAGCCCCGGGCUCAACCUGGGAACGGCAUCCGGAACUGUCAAGCUAGAGUGCAGGAGAGGAAGGUAGAAUUCCCGGUGUAGCGGUGAAAUGCGUAGAGAUCGGGAGGAAUACCAGUGGCGAAGGCGGCCUUCUGGACUGACACUGACACUGAGGUGCGAAAGCGUGGGUAGCAAACAGGAUUAGAUACCCGGGUAGUC